rnacentral:ncRNA from 2 species
CUCUUAUUCAGAGUGGUGGAGGUACAUAGGACCUGUGAAGCCACGGCAACCCCUUAAUUAUUAGGAAGGUGCCAACCUGAGCGUGCAAAUUACGAGCAAUAAGAG